UCAAGUGUUUAAGGGCGCAUGGUGGAUGCCUUGGCACCAGGAGCCGAUGAAGGACGUGGGAGGCUGCGAUAUGCCUGGGGGAGUUGUCAACCGAGCUGUGAUCCCAGGAUUUCCGAAUGGGGGAACCCAGCACCAGUCAUGUGGUGUUACCCGCGCUUGAAUAUAUAGGGCGUGUGGAGGUAACGCGGGGAAGUGAAACAUCUCAGUACCCGUAGGAAGAGAAAACAAUAGUGAUUCCGUGAGUAGUGGCGAGCGAAAGCGGAUGAGCCUAAACCGAGCGCAUGUGAUAGCCGGCGGGCGUUGUGUGUUCGGGGUUGUGGGGCUUGCUGUGAUCCUCCCGCUGGGGGGUCGGGCAGUGAGAAAGUCGUGUGCUAGCUGAAGGGUCUGGAAAGGCCUGCCGUAGAGGGUGAGAGUCCUGUAGGCGAAAGUGCGCGGCCUGUCUAUGUGAGUUCCCGAGUAGCGGCGGACCCCGGAAAUCUGCCGUGAAUCUGCCAGGACCACCUGGUAAGGCUAAAUACUCCCUGGUGACCGAUAGCGGACUAGUACCGUGAGGGAAAGGUGAAAAGUACCCCGGGAGGGGAGUGAAAGAGUACCUGAAACCAUGUGCCUACAAUCCGUCAGGGCUGCACCGUUGGGUGUGGUGAUGGCGUGCCUUUUGAAGAAUGAGCCUGCGAGUUAGUGGUGCGUGGCGAGGUUAACCUGUGUGGGGGAGCCGUAGCGAAAGCGAGUCCGAUAAGGGCGUUGAGUCGCGUGUCCUAGACCCGAAGCGGGGUGAUCUACCCAUGGGCAGGCUGAAGCGCGGGUAAGACCGUGUGGAGGGCCGAACCCACCAGGGUUGAAAACCUGGGGGAUGACCUGUGGGUAGGGGUGAAAGGCCAAUCAAACUCCGUGAUAGCUGGUUCUCCCCGAAAUGCAUAUAGGUGCAGCGUCGCGUGUUUCUUGCCGGAGGUAGAGCACUGGAUGGCCUAGGGGGCUUACCAGCUUACUGAAGUCAGCCAAACUCCGAAUGCCGGUAAGUGAGAGCGCGGCAGUGAGACGGCGGGGGAUAAGCUUCGUCGUCGAGAGGGAAACAGCCCAGAUCACCAGCUAAGGCCCCUAAGCGUGUGCUAAGUGGAAAAGGAUGUGGGGUUGCCGAGACAACCAGGAGGUUGGCUUAGAAGCAGCCAUCCUUGAAAGAGUGCGUAAUAGCUCACUGGUCAAGUGAUUCCGCGCCGACAAUGUAGCGGGGCUCAAGCACACCGCCGAAGCUGUGGCAUUCACAUGUGUAUCUGGCUCGACUCUUUGUGGGUUGGGUCUAGGUGUGUGGAUGGGUAGGGGAGCGUCGUGCCACGGGUGAAGCAGCCGGGUGACCGAGUUGUGGACGUGGUGCGAGUGAGAAUGCAGGCAUGAGUAGCGAUAGCAGGGUGAGAAACCCUGCCGCCGGAUGUCCAAGGGUUCCAGGGUCAAGCUUUUCUGCCCUGGGUAAGUCGGGGCCUAAGGCGAGGCCGUGAGGCGUAGUCGAUGGAUAACGGGUUGAUAUUCCCGUACCCGCGUAGAAGCGUCCCUGAUGAAACUUUCUGUGCUAACCCGUGAUGUUGGUUGAGGUCUUCGGAUCGAGGCUGGUGGAUCGGGGAUCCUGGUUGGGAGUAGUCAAGCGAUGGGGUGACGUAGGAGGGUAGCUGAGCCCGGCCGGUGGUUGUGCCGGGGUAAGCGUGUAGGGCGUGGUGUAGGUAAAUCCGCAUCGCAUGUGCCUGAGACGUGAAGCCGAGCCGAUUUUGGUGAAGUCAGUGAUCCCAUGCUACCGAGAAAAGCCUCUAGCGAGCUUCGAGCGGCCCGUACCCUAAACCGACACAGGUGGACAGGUAGAGAAUACCGAGGCGUUCGGGUGAACUGUGGUUAAGGAACUCGGCAAAUUGCCCCCGUAACUUUGGGAGAAGGGGGCCGGACGCGUGAACACCCUUGCGGUGGGAGCGUGGUAUGGCCGCAGAGACCAGGGGAAAGCGACUGUUUACUAAAAACACAGGUCCGUGCGAAGUUGUAAGACGAUGUAUACGGACUGACGCCUGCCCGGUGCUGGAACGUUAAGGGGACCGGUUAGUUGCGUUUCGGCGUGGCGAAGCUGAGAACUUAAGCGCCAGUAAACGGCGGUGGUAACUAUAACCAUCCUAAGGUAGCGAAAUUCCUUGUCGGGUAAGUUCCGACCUGCACGAAUGGCGUAACGACUUUCCCGCUGUCUCAACCACAGGCCCGGCGAAAUUGCAUUACGAGUAAAGAUGCUCGUUACGCGCGGCAGGACGGAAAGACCCCGGGACCUUUACUAUAGCUUGGUAUUGGUGUUCGGUUCGGCUUGUGUAGGAUAGGUGGGAGCCGUUGAGUCCUCGACGCUAGUUGGGGCGGAGGCAAUCUUGAAAUACCACUCUGGUCGUACUGGAUGUCUAACCUCGGGCCAUGAUCUGGUUCAGGGACAGUGCCUGGUGGGUAGUUUAACUGGGGCGGUUGCCUCCUAAAGGGUAACGGAGGCGCCCAAAGGUCCGCUCAGCCUGGUUGGCAAUCAGGUGGUGAGUGUAAGUGUAGAAGCGGGCUUGACUGUGAGACUGACGGGUCGAGCAGGGACGAAAGUCGGGACUAGUGAUCCGGCACUUGCGAGUGGAAGCGGUGUCGCUCAUCGGAUAAAAGGUACCCCGGGGAUAACAGGCUGAUCUUCCCCAAGAGUCCAUAUCGACGGGAUGGUUUGGCACCUCGAUGUCGGCUCGUCGCAUCCUGGGGCUGGAGUAGGUCCCAAGGGUUGGGCUGUUCGCCCAUUAAAGCGGUACGCGAGCUGGGUUUAGAACGUCGUGAGACAGUUCGGUCCCUAUCCGCCGCGCGCGUUGCAGAUUUGAGAAGGGCUGUCCCUAGUACGAGAGGACCGGGACGGACGAACCUCUGGUGUGCCAGUUGUCCUGCCAGGGGCACGGCUGGUUGGCUACGUUCGGAAGGGAUAACCGCUGAAAGCAUCUAAGCGGGAAGCCUGCUUCAAGAUGAGGUCUGCUGCCCCGGAGACGGGGGUAAGGCCCCCAGGAGAUGACUGGGUUGAUAGGCCGGAGGUGUAAGCGCGGUAACGUGUUGAGCUGACCGGUACUAAUAGGCCGAGGGCUUGACU
rnacentral:rRNA from 1 species